AACGCCGCGUGUGGGAAGAAGGCCUUCGGGUCGUAAACCACUGUCAGGAGGGAAGAAAAGCAGUCGCCAAACAGGAGGCUGUAUUGACGGUACCUCCAGAGGAAGCACCGGCCAACUCCGUGCCAGCACCGUCGGUGACUGAGCGGGCUGGCAAGGCGCAUA
rnacentral:rRNA from 1 species